UACGUAGGGUCCGAGCGUUGUCCGGAAUUACUGGGCGUAAAGAGCUCGUAGGUGGUUUGUCGCGUUGUUCGUGAAAACUCACAGCUCAACUGUGGGCGUGCGGGCGAUACGGGCAGACUAGAGUACUGCUGGGGAGACUGGAAUUCCUGGUGUAGCGGUGGAAUGCGCAGAUAUCAGGAGGAACACCGGUGGCGAAGGCGGUCUGCUGGGCCGUUGCUGACGCUGAGGCGCGACAGCGUGGGGAGCAAACAGG
rnacentral:rRNA from 1 species